rnacentral:lncRNA from 1 species
AUUCCUUCCUUGCCUUUUCUCUCCAGGUUAACCCAUCCCACUUAGCAAUCUGCUCCCGUAACGUGUUUGCAUUAGCCACUUCCUUCCGCCACUGUUUUAGUGUAGGUCCUCACCAACCAAAAUUAGUCCCGCCAAGUUCAAGAGUUCCAUGCAUCUCUUCUAAGGUCAUGCUCGACCUUGCAGCUCAGAUGACCUUCACAUAGCCUUUUCCCAAUAGGGUUAUAAGGUAUUGGCUUUGUAGUCUCUCAUUUGGGGGCUUUACUGCCAAUAAAACUUUAUCUUGUAAAUCAAACAUUCGCUAGCUUAAUAUGCUUUAGUAGCCACUCCUUCCCUUUGGGAUAAAGACUCUUCUGAUACAGCCCUUAUCUGGCUUUCCAAGCUGACCUCUUACACCCCCCUCCCAUUAAUGUGCCUCUGUGCUCUGCUGUACCAGACCCCUGUGUGGCCUAAAUACUCCAUGCUUUCUUCAUUCUCUGCAUCUUGUAUAUACUUUUAUUUAUCCUCUGCUUGGAAUAUUAGUUUGAUGAAUCCCUCUUUAUACUUCAAGACUUUUAGCUCAAAUUAGUUCCUCAGUGAAGCCUUCCCUAAUAUCCUCAAAGACUAUUCUCCUCCUCUUUCAUUACACAUUGUAUAUUUCUCCUUUGUAGCCACCAAGAUUACAUGCUAGUGUAGACAAGGAGGGAAUGGUACAAUCCCUUCCCCAAACUGGUCUUAACAGUCGACAGGUUAAGUUCAGAUGUACAUAUUUAGACAUGUGCACAUCCACACACUUACAGGGAACAAGGAGGAACACACUGAAGACUCUUGGACUUUUGGUUUUGCACUUUAGCUCACGUAAGAGUUUCAUUAAGUCAGUGGGCUUUGGCAGUCUCUCCUGCCACAUUUCAUUAGCAUCUCUUUUGGUUUCUUUCAACUGAUCUGAGACUUCGUAUGUUCAUUUUCUGUUCCCCACCCAGGGUCAUGCUUCUUUAGUCAGGUGAGUGUCUUUGCACUGCCAAGCCCUCUGCUGGAUGUUCCCCCAGGUGGAGGGAAAGAGGCUUUCCCAAAGUUCUGGACUGUGUAGCUUCUGCAAUCCCAUAAGCACGUUCUGUAGAUUAUCCUGCUAAAAUACCACCUAUCUCCUGUUCCCUUCUCUUAUGCUAGUCUGAUAUGUCCUGCCAUCAGGAAGGAAAAAGUGAGAUGGGGAAAGCCUCCCUGCAAUGUCUGUAAAAGGACUUACUAUAUAGUCAUUUUAAUGCUCAGUUUACAGAUUUGUCUCCUGCAGAUUAAGUACAUUGAAGGUCAGAUGGUGUUUUUUGUUUCUGUUUUUGUGUAUAUCCCUAGUGCCCAGCAAAAUCCAUGAAUGAAGGAAUGAAUCUCAUUUAUGAUUUUGGAUCCUACCUGUACACACUUGUAUGAUCACAGUUAGUGAUUUAUAAGUAGCAUGUCCUGCCUAAUUAAAAACCUAUUCAUGAGUAAAUUAAAAUGUUUGAAUAUCUACAAAUAUGUUCGAACUUAAAAUAUUUUUCCUUUAAAUUUUGCAGCAAACAUAGGCAGUAUUUUCAUGUGCUGAUCCUUUUAAUUCAAGGCAUCAUCCUUUAAAACAGAAAUUAAGGCCAAGACAGAUAAUUAAUCUGGAUAAUUAAUUUGCCACGUCUCAUUGGUCGUGGUAGUAGACAUGUAGGUAUAAUAUAUAGAAAUAAGCAAUAUUUGGAGAAUCAAGGGUACUUUAAAAGAGAAGAUAAUAACCAGUCAGAGAAAAUGCAACCAAAUAGCAUAUUUUUUUUUCUCUAAAAGAGGAAGCUAAGUGUCAGUUCACAGGGCUGAUCACAGAGGUCAAGGUAAGGCUCUUUGUUUUCUUCAGAGUCUGGAAGAGCCUGGAUGGGUUCUCUUGUUUCUGUACAGAUGAUAACAGGUGCAGGAGAAGGAACACCUGGAAAUCAGCUGGCUUUUGAUAAAUGUUUGUUGAAGAGUAGGUUGUAUUGCUCAGUGUCAGAAGGUUGGGUAAAGCAUUCAAAAAGUCUUCAGAGAUAUAUGUGCCUUUGAAAUGCCUACAAUGUACUAUAAUUUCAGAUUUAAUGGAGACGUCAUAAUCUGUUGUACCAGGGACUAAAGUCUCUUGGAAGUUUUCUCUGACUAACCACCCUCAUGAUGACCUUUGCUUGCUUCAAGUAACUGUGACAUGCAUGUGGGCUGUCUUUAUUCUCCACGUCUAUUUAAUGCAUGUCUGUACAUUGCCUCAGGAUAGUCUCAGGUUGUAGCUUGUCUACUAGAUUAUCUUGUCCUAGAGGGUCAUGUUUUUGCAUUUUCUGUAGCUCAAUAUAAAUCUACUGGGAUCCAAACAUUUUUAACUAUGGCUGUCAUGUGAUUUGAGCCUCAAAACAACUUUGCAAAGUGAAUAUAGUAUUUCCCUGAUUUUGCAGAUGGGAAAAGAGAUGCAGUGUGUCAAGUAGGUUAUCCACAUUUACACAGCAAGUAAGUAGCUGAGUCCAGAUAUAGAUCAAAGGUCAUGAUCAUUCUGCAAUAUACUUUUAAAGAAACAGAAUUACUGCAAAGAAUAUACUUAGAGAUCCCUUAGCUGACCAAAUAAAAUGGACAGACAGCAUUUUUGGGGUCGUGGAAUUGGCAGAUUUAAUGGAGACAGCAUCUGAAUAUUACGUCUGUUUCGUGGUAGUCAUUCAUGGAAUGUAUAACCCAAGACUGCUUUUAACUGGUGCUUCAGAGAGAUGGGUUUGUUGACUGACACUGUGAAGCAAAUCCUCAGACGACAGAAGAUGGUGGGCAUCUGUUGAUCAAGAAUUUUAUCCCCAACAAUGAGGUAAGUGCUCCUGAGAGGAAAUUUUGCUCACAAUUAGGCAUUUUGAGUGCCUUUCGCAUUUUUUUCUUGUUCUUUCCACUGCCCUGAGUGGUGAUCUAUUAUUUAAUAAUGUAUUGAACACCAGGUUCUGUAAUUGCUUGAUUACUAUCAUCUUUCCUCUUUUCCUCCCCACUGUCCCCCCCCCCCCAUUGGAAUGACACCUCCUCUAGACACUCACAAAUUUCAUCCUUUGAUGAUGGAGUAUGAAAGCAUAUUAAAAUCCACCACAGGUGUCAGAGGAAAACCACCCAGAACUUUGAUCUCAGACUUAUCUUUCAAAUAAUAUAAAUUUAAUUUGUCU